CUAAAUGUUUCUUGGUUUCUUUCAUUCAGAAAAUAGGUGAACGAAGGCAGAGAUUGAGUUUGGUCCUUGAGCCAGUUAAAGUUUUCAGAUGGUCAGUUGCAGAGGAGAAGAUUUUUGACUUCACAGCCAUUCCAGGUGUUUAAAUAACUGGCUUUCAGUUUGUUUAAAUUGUCUGUUUCAAAUUGGUACACUUGCAGUAUGCUAAUUAGUGUUUUUCUUAUUCCACAGGAUUUGGUGGCAUUUGCAGGUGUCAAUGACAUGGCCAGUGAAGUAUUUUCAUUACAGCUGGCCAUGUCACCAACACCAAUGUUAAGCACUUUGACUGGCACUCUGGAGGUAAAUGGGAUUUCUGAGUCCUGUACAUUGUACGUUCUAUGGAUGUCAGGAGAUGAUGUACAGGAAAUACUGUCAAAUGAGCAAGAUUCGUCUACUUCAUGUGGGAAUGAAUCUUUGCUAUCCACUUCCAGAUCUCUUCUCUCCACGGUUCCUACACCCUCCAUAACUACCAAUACUAACAUGUGUCCUCUAGACAUUGAGUCUCAGACCUCGACAACUUCACUGCCUCCCCUACUGACCUCCCCCACUCACAGUCUUUGCCUUCCUCCAGACACUGUACUCCAGCCCUCUACAACUCUUAGCAUUUUCCCUCCUAUACCCCUUGGGCCCCUCACCUCUACCACUCACAACAUUCGCCUUCCUCCAGACGCUAUACCACCCAUCACCUCCACUCACAGUAUAGUUCCUUCUCCAGACACUAUGGCCCUGACCUCCCCCGCUCGAAGCAUUUCUCCUCCUCUGUACAUUGCAACCCCAGCCACCCCCACUCACAGCAUUUCCUCUCCUCUUGAGCCUGUACCCAUCUUAAGUCCCACACUUGAGGUAGACCAUGAUCUGGAUGAUCACUUCAUGUCAGAUGGGAUUGAUGUUUCAGACCUUCUUAACGUUCUUAGGUCACAGAUAGAUUUUGGGACUUGUCCAUCAGCCAACCUUAUUAAUGUUUCUUUUUGAUUGUUUCUCAUUACUGAGUGACUGCACCUGGAGGAAAUCAACACAAACACAGGGAAAGCAAGCAAACACCACACAGACAGGACUAUAGUCAUAUAAUAUAAAUCAAAACAGCCCUUCUUGGUGGAAGGUGACUAUGCCACAAAGCCAACUUUUUUUAUUUCUAAGUUCAAAUAAAGCAAAACAGACAACACA
rnacentral:lncRNA from 1 species